AUUGAACGCUGGCGGCAGGCCUAACACAUGCAAGUCGAGCGAGCGGCGGACGGGUGAGUAAUGUAUGGGGACUGCCCGAUAGAGGGGGAUAACAAUGGGAAACGGUGGCUAAAACCGCAUACUGUCGGAUGACCCAUAUGGGAUUAGCUUGUAGGGAAGGUAAUGGCUUACCUAGGCGACGAUCCCUAGCUGGUCUGAGAGGAUGAUCAGCCACACUGGGACUGAGACACGGCCCAGACUCCUACGGAGGCAGCAGUGGGGAAUAUUGCACAAUGGGCGCAAGCCUGAUGCAGCCAUGCCGCGUGUAUGAAGAAGGCCUUAGGGUUGUAAAGUACUUUCAGUCGGGAGGCGUUACCGACAGAAGAAGCACCGGCUAACUCCGUGCCAGCCGCCGCGGUAAUUC
rnacentral:rRNA from 1 species